rnacentral:rRNA from 1 species
AAUGAACGUUGGCGGCGUGGAUUAGGCAUGCAAGUCGAGCGCGAAUCUCCGCAAGGAGAGGAAAGCGGCGAAAGGGAGAGUAACACGUGGAUAUCUGCCCUCCGGACUGGGAUAGCUGCGGGAAACUGCAGGUAAUACCAGAUAACGUCUUUGGACCAAAGGUGUGAUUCCGCCGGUGGAUGAGUCCGCGUCCUAUUAGCUAGUUGGUAGGGUAACGGCCUACCAAGGCCAUGAUGGGUAGCGGGUGUGAGAGCAUGGCCCGCCUCACUGGGACUGAGACACUGCCCAGACACCUACGGGUGGCUGCAGUCGAGGAUCUUCGGCAAUGGACGCAAGUCUGACCGAGCGACGCCGCGUGCGGGAUGAAGG